GCACAAGCGGUGGAGCAUGUGGUUUAAUUCGAAGCAACGCGAAGAACCUUACCAGGUCUUGACAUACUCGUGCUAUCCUUAGAGAUAAGGAGUUCCUUCGGGACACGGGAUACAGGUGGUGCAUGGUUGUCGUCAGCUCGUGUCGUGAGAUGUUGGGUUAAGUCCCGCAACGAACGCAACCCUUAUUACUAGUUGCCAUCAUUAAGUUGGGCACUCUAGUGAGACUGCCGGUGAUAAACCGGAGGAAGGUGGGGAUGACGUCAAAUCAUCAUGCCCCUUAUGACCUGGGCUACACACGUGCUACAAUGGAUGGUACAACGAGUCGCCAACCCGCGAGGGUGCGCUAAUCUCUUAAAACCAUUCUCAGUUCGGAUUGCAGGCUGCAACUCGCCUGCAUGAAGUCGGAAUCGCUAGUAAUCGCGGAUCAGCACGCCGCGGUGAAUACGUUCCCGGGCCUUGUACACACCGCCCGUCACACCACGGAAGUUGGGAGUACCCAAAGUAGGUUGCCUAACCGCAAGGAGGGCGCUUCCUAAGGUAAGACCGAUGACUGGGGUGAAGUCGUAACAAGGUAACCAAGGGCGAAUUCGCGG
rnacentral:rRNA from 1 species